AACCCAUAGUGAGGGUACCUUCUCAGUAAGUCCUUGUAUCUCUCCCACGCAUCGUAGAGGGUUUCUACAUCCAUCUGUACAAAAGAAAAGAUAUCAUUACGUAAUUU
rfam:Gossypium arboreum cultivar AKA8401 contig_10277_7, whole genome shotgun sequence.